GCUAAGUUUGCUUACAAGUCAGUACAAGCUGUAUAGGGUAUAUAUAGUUAACAGGAUGUAAUUGCAAGGCAUGAAUGAAAUGAAUUAGUCUAUUUUCUCCCCCAAAAGUUCUUCUCCAAACCCUUCUUCUCCUCUACUAUUUCUCUUCCCCAUUCUCUACUUCUAAUCUCUAUCCCAACCCCUUAUCCCUCUCUAUCUCGUUCUCUAUCUCUAAUCUUUAUUUUACCUCUUAUUUCAUCUUCCCCACUAUCUAUCUAUCUCCCUAUCUCUCUAUUUCUCCUCUUCGUACCUCAGUCACCUCUGAAUCUCAACCGGGACAUUAAAUCCUCCUCCUGCCCUUCGACUAGUAGGAUGACAGUCCGCUCCACUAGCAGGGCCACGGCGUUGUGUUAUGAAGAUGGACCGAGGGUAGGCUUCAGGCCUCAGCAAGAGCACCCAGCCCAGCUGACACUGCUGAUCCAACUGUCCUCCGUUUGGCCGGGCCGGACCCGGCCUGCCAGCCCAGUGCAUCACCACCUCCUUCUUGAAAUAAAAUAAAAAGGUCAUUAAAAUUAAAAAAGUCGCGAAAAAUAGUGCUGCUGGAUAAGUGCAGUAAAUGGCAUGUUUGGUUGCCUGAAAGUAGCUGAAGUAAAAACAAAAAAAUCACUUUUGCAAAAGUGACUUUUACAAAAGUGACAUUUCAGUUCGAUUGUUUGGUUGACUAUAAAGCAAAUCAUGAAAAGUUAUAGUUUUAUAAUUUUGAUUCUUUAAUUAUACACAUAAAGAGGUGAAAAUAUAAACUAACGACUUAUACUCGCAAUUUAAAUUUAAAUUUAAAUUUAAAUUUUGAAUUCAAAAUUAUAUUUUAAAAGUUAAAUUUAAACUUAAAUCUGAAUUAUAUUUAUAAUUAAAAUUUAAGAUAUAAAUUAAAUUUAUAAUCUGAAUUUAAAGUUUAAGUUAUAAUUCAUAACUAAAAUUAAAUUCUAAAAUAAAUGUUCAACAUAGAAUUUACAACAUUUAUUCAAAAUUGAAUUCAUAAUUUGAAUUUACAAUUUGAAUCAUAUUUUAAUAGGAAAACUUCAAAAAACCCCCCUGUGGUUUCGCACUUUCUCACUUUAGUACCUUGUGGUUUAAAGUGUAUCAAUUUGCCCCCAUGUGGUUUUGUUUUUAUCUUUUCGGCAGCUUUUUCCUUAAUAUUUCGUUAAAUUAUAUACAAAAAACUUCAGAUACCCACCUUGAUUUAUCGAAUAUUUACUUUAGUACCCUUUAAUUUUAACUUUGUCACUGAUUUAAGAAAAAAAAUAAUAAAAUUGAUACUAAAUAGCAAAAAACAAAACCACAGGGGGACAAAUUGAUACACUUUAAACCAUAGGAUACUAAAGUGAGAAAGUGUGAAACCACAGGGAGUGUUUUUGAAGUUUUCCCUAUUUUAAUU
rnacentral:lncRNA from 1 species